rnacentral:rRNA from 1 species
UACGAAGGGGGCUAGCGUUGCUCGGAAUUACUGGGCGUAAAGCGCACGUAGGCGGAUUGUUAAGUCGGGGGUGAAAUCCCGGGGCUCAACCUCGGAAUUGCCUUCGAUACUGUCUGUCUUGAGUCCGGGAGAGGUGAGUGGAAUUCCUAGUGUAGAGGUGAAAUUCGUAGAUAUUAGGAAGAACACCAGUGGCGAAGGCGGCUCACUGGCCCGGUACUGACGCUCAUGUGCGAAAGCGUGGGGAGCAAACAGG